AGCCUAGUGGUUAAGGCUAUGGAUCGCCAAUCCGGAUAUAGCGGGUUCGAUUCCCGU
rnacentral:tRNA from 1 species